rnacentral:rRNA from 1 species
AGAGUUUGAUCCUGGCUCAGAACGAACGCUGGCGGCAGGCUUAACACAUGCAAGUUGAACGGGAUUUGUGUGGUGCUUGCACCAUAUAAUGAGAGUAGCGCACUGGUGAGUAACACGUGGGAACGUGCCUUUUAGUGGGGGGAUAACAUCUGGAAACGGAUGCUAAUACCGCAUACGCCCUGAGGGGGAAAGAUUUAUUGCUAAGAGGUCGGCCCGCGGUAGAUUAGGCAGUUGGUGGGGUAAAGGCCUACCAAACCUACGAUCUAUAGCUGGUCUGAGAGGACGAUCAGCCACAUUGGAACUGAGACACGGUCCAGACUCCUACGGGAGGCAGCAGUGAGGAAUAUUGGGCAAUGGAGGCAACUCUGACCCAGCCAUGCCGCGUGAGUGAGAAGGUUUUCGAAUUGUAAAGCUCUUUCGGGUGUGAAGAUGAUGACGGUAACACCAGAAGAAGCCCCGGCAAACUUCGUGCCAGCAGCCGCGGUAAUACGAAGGGGGCGAGCGUUGUUCGGAAUUACUGGGCGUAAAGGGUGUGUAGGCGGUUAAGUAAGAUAGUGGUGAAAUGCCGGGGCUCAACCUCGGAAUUGCCAUUAUGACUAUUUAGCUAGAAUGAUGCAGAGGAUAGCGGAAUACCCAGUGUAGAGGUGAAAUUCGUAGAUAUUGGGUAGAACACCAGAGGCGAAGGCGGCUAUCUGGGCAUUGAUUGACGCUGAGGCACGAAAGCAUGGGGAUCAAACAGGAUUAGAUACCCUGGUAGUCCAUGCUGUAAACGAUGAAUGCUAGUUGUUGGAGGAAUUCAGUGACGCAGUUAACACAAUAAGCAUUCCGCCUGGGGAGUACGGUCGCAAGAUUAAAACUCAAAGGAAUUGACGGGGACCCGCACAAGCGGUGGAGCAUGUGGUUUAAUUCGA